UACGUAGGGGGCAAGCGUUAUCCGGAUUUACUGGGUGUAAAGGGAGCGUAGGCGGCAGUGCAAGUCUGAAGUGAAAGGCAAGGGCUCAACCCUUGGACUGCUUUGAAAACUGUGCUGCUGGAGUGUCGGAGAGGCAAGUGGAAUUCCUAGUGUAGCGGUGAAAUGCGUAGAUAUUAGGAGGAACACCAGUGGCGAAGGCGGCUUGCUGGACGAUGACUGACGUUGAGGCUCGAAAGCGUGGGGAGCAAACAGG
rnacentral:rRNA from 1 species